ACAGAACUUUAAGUUUCCUGGGACAAGAUCAAGACCAGAUAAGAUCAAGACUUAAACUUUAAACAUAUUUAAAAAUUGAUAUAAAAUCAGAAUUAAUAGCUUCCUAACUAAGUUGGUACUUGACGGACAAUGCCUAAGAGAAGAUGUACAUUGAGGACAGUACCACUUUCCUUUUGGAGGUGCAGUGAUACCCACACAUGGAUAGUGAAACCAUUCAAAAGGACACUAUAAAAAGAUAAUGAGAAAAAAUAAUUAUUUAAUAAAAAUAAAUAUUCUUACUUGACUCAUACGGAAAUAUACAUAAAGAAAAAAGGUUAGCUUACAUCUGAAUUGUCACAGGCAACCAUAUCCCCAUAAGAUACUUGAUUACAUAUACAAUAUCUCGGUUCGUUUGGAUCAUAAGUCCAAUCUGGAUUAUCUGAAUCUACAACUUGUGUAUUUGUAGUUAUAACUGGAGGUGAUACAGGUUGCUGAACAGAGGCAGCAACUACACUCGAACUUGGGACAGCAGUUACUUUUCUAAAAUGAGUAAUAAUAUUCAUUCAAAGCAAACACGCGAAAAUUUCCACAAAGGGAAAUAUUACAAGUUACAGUUUAACUCCAAAAUAUAUUGGGUAGAGCAGAGAUACUAUACACUAUUUAGAAAACAUACAACUAACCUUCAACUUACAAAGAAUGGUAUAUCAAGAAAUUGCUCAUAUAAUGAGAUAUUUAACUUGAUAAUAAAAUAAAGGCCAGUAUUUAAAUGAUUACAUGUGAUAAUACAAUAUCUACUAAAAUAUUCGCUUUAAGAAACGCUUCUGAUGUUUGUGCGAGAGAGUAUAUUUGGAAAGGUUAGUAACUUUCUUCAGAAGCUGGACGAUUGUGUAGUAUUAAGGAUUAAAGAAAGUUAGGAUUCUUUCGCUUGGUCUUUAUUAACAACAUUCCCUGCAUAUCGAUCGACGUACUAUAAGAUCUUUUUAUACUAAAAGAAAGGUGCGUGGAACUUUUCCUUCGUAAAAUGAUACGGCGCAGUCCGACGAGAAUCGACUUACGACUAGACGAUCUACAAGAAUAUGAGGCGAUGAGGAAAGCUCUCGAAGCUAAGAAAGAAUCAGAAAGACCACCAGCAUUCAAUCCUCCCCCCUGGGGUGGUAAAAUCCCGCAAAGUGAAAUUCAAGAACGCAUCGGUUAUAUGCCGCAACAAGCUCAAACUACACAUUGUCGGCCAAAUUUAUAGCUUUUUAUAUAAUACUUAUGUAUUUUGAAUUAUAUUACUUUUUAUGUUUGUUCCAAUAUUACCAUAUAAUUGACUGUAGUCCAUCAUGAAAUAAAAUAAAUCCAUUGAAAUUCAGUUUCCAAAGUGUUUAUUGUAAUAUUACUAAAAUAUACAUGGCAGCGUUUUCAUUUAUAACGUAUAACAGUUGAAGGAGAUAGUAACAAUAGAACAUCGACAGUUGUUUUAAGAUCUAUGACAUAGAGGUUUAACAAUACAACGUGUAAUAUUACGAUAUCAUUAACAAAUACAUAUGUUUGUUUACCUAGUUUAAUUAAAGCAAGAUGAUUGAGCGUUUAGUAGAAACAGAUUAUUGCUGUCUGAAAUGUCUCGUGUACAAAAGGUAAUUACAUGUUAGCGAUUCUAUCGGUAUUCCUAUCACAAGAGGAUACCGAUCAACAUACACGAUGAAUAAUAAAAUGCACUGAUUUAGCAUGUAUAUUAUGAAAUUUACAAAUAAAAUGUAUUGCUAUAUAGAACAAGAAUUAUUUGAAAUGCAA